AUGAAACAACAGAUUCAGAGAGGAUAUGUAACCAAAGUCAUGCCAUCAAGAAAUGAUAACCAGGAUUCAAGUUCAGGUUCGACUCUGAUGUCCACCUCUACAAUGUCAGUUCCACUGGGGCUCACGGGUAUUGAUCAUGUGUCUACUGUGCAUGAGACUCCAACAUGGAAAUUGGAGGAGAAAAGUCAAAGGAGUGGGCAAGGCCCAGCCAAGGCAGAACAAGAGGAUGAAGAACAGGAAAUGCAUCAGAAGGAAGAGGAAAAGUACCCAAGGGAAAAACUCUUUCUAGUAAGGGCAGCAAGCAAGUCAAUGGAUUCAUUUCAGGUGUGUGGGCUAAUGGAGGCUAGUUUCA
rnacentral:lncRNA from 1 species